rnacentral:misc_RNA from 1 species
AAGUCGUAACAAGGUUUCCGUAGGUGAACCUGCGGAAGGAUCAUUAACACGUUAUCCACGUAUCUACCUCUUGCGAACUUUUUACUGUUCAGGAGUCGGCAGACCAGCGUAGAUAAUGGAGGUAGAUGUUACUAUGUCCAGUGGCCGACACCCUGGUUCUACCUGCCUAGCUAACCCCGCCAUCCCCUUCGUUUUUUUUUAAAUGUGGUGUAAGAAAAAAAGAAGCGUGUUGGGUGUGGGCUUAGGUAUUCUGGUUCAUAUGACUCGAAUCAUAGUAGUUUUUUUAAUCUUAUUAACCCUUUUUUUUACUUAAUUUGUUGAAUUGUGAUGGUCCCUGGAGGUAACACUUCGGGUGGCUCACGUUAAUAAAACACUAUACAACUCUUAGCAACGGAUAUCUCGGUUCU